CAUCUGAAAAGUGCCUGUUUCCUUGGUGACACUCAUUUCAGCUGGGUGGAAGCAGCUCGAUUAAAUCAGUUCAUUUGAAGAAUUAAUGGCAACCUGUUUGAUUUUCCCAAGGACAUUUGCAUUUCGAAAGAGGAAAAUUUUUAACAUAAAUUAGUCUUUUAUUAAUAGAAAUUGAGAGAGCAAAGCAGAAUUGCAUGGUGGGGAAGAGAUUUUGCAGAGGAUGGUCUCCCACGUAGUCAUUGCAUCUUACGAUCAGAUAACAACCUUUAACAUUUUAGUCAGGCAACCAUGUUUUCCCCUUCUGAUCACAUGCUGGGCACACAGGGGAGAGUGUAGGUAAGAUACCGGACAGUUUAAGAUGAGCAUUUAAUGUUUGUGGAAAUUUUAGGGUAAAAGUCUUUUUAGGCUUUACACAAAGGUAGAUGCAGGUUUAAGUUUUGUGAUCAUUUCAUGGGAUGAUAUUGAUGAAGGUCACAAAAAACGCUAUGUGAAGCUAAAACAAAACUCAUAUAAAUUGCCCAACACAAUGCCAGACGUUCACUUAUUCAAAAAUGUUUGUGGGGGCUUAUGUUAACCGAAAUGGGGGGACUUCUGUGUGGAAGGAAGAAGGGUGCUCAGCGCCUUCCCGGGCACUGUGGCUGGGCGCAGCCCAUCAGUGUGUUCUGAUCAAGGGCUCCCCAGCCCCCUUGUCUGGGGACAUCUUAAAUACUUUGUUACAACAGGGGGUGGGUGCAGGGAAGAGGUGAUGUCAUCAGUCAAGGGGGUGGCCUUCAAAGAACACACUAUGCAUAUUCUCAAGCUCUGUAUGCUGAGUGGAAGCAAAGAUUAGGGCUGCUGACUAUCCUCCUAAAGGAGUCGGCCAGGGGCUCAACAACAGGCAGGCUUACCUCCUUCUGAGCUUUCCGGGUUGGUCUUUUCUGGUCACGGAUGAGGGGUGAGGCGCAGUGAGUCAAGAACGGCUAUGGGGCAUCGACCUGGCAGACCUGGGCCUCUACACCUGGCAUAGCCCUUUGCCUGUGGGACCACGGUGGGGAACACAAAAUUUCAUUUUAUUUCACACUUAUGUCUCAAACACACAGUACAUAAUCAAUAAAUUAUUUUAUUUCUUUUGCUGGAAAGCACAUACAUAAAAUAUUCUGUAGUGUGGCACUGUGGGGACUGAAACAUGCAUCAUCGGUUAUGUCCAGCAAAGUAGAAUGCACUUGUCAAUUAGACUGUCUCUAUUUCUCUUUUCCACAGCACUUCCAGCUUUGCAUGUAACUUCCCUUGUACCUGGAAUCUGCACUAUCACCUCACCCCGAAGGACAUCCGAGUCACAGCCACCUCCAGUGACUGGCAGUGAAUAUCCGAGGUGCCACGUUUUAAGAAGAAUCCAAAGGCCAUAUUCCCGAUCAUCAAGGAAAAAAAUGCCCUGAUCAAAUAGCAGUGUUCACCCAACCUGAGGGCUUUGCCCUCUCUGCCCUUCAAGUGCCACUCCCUGCCCCUCCAAGAGCAUGCCAGCGAUGGAAAGGAAACCCAGGUCUGCAGGCGGAGAGUGGUGAGCGUGAGCCCUGUCUCCCAAGCCUUCCCAACGUGGCUCUCUGGAGAUAUCCACCCAGGGCACAGUGCCUGCCUGUCGGUCAGGUGCCACGCGCCCCGGGGGCUGUGGUUUUCUGUGGAGCAGCGGCGAGGAAGCAGGUAAGGAAACAGGGUUAUCAACACAAACCAUGGCCUUCCUCUCCUGGCCCCCUGAGACUGAGUCUGUACCACCUUACAAAUGGUUAGAAGGCCAAGAGACACCGUGGAUGAGGAAAUGGCGUUGCAUCAUCGCUGUCCUUUCGAGUCAGCAAACAGAAGCUGCACACGGCCGACUGCUUCCGUCUGCGCCGCAUCCCUUUGCCUUGCGAGAUGACAGCGCUGGGGAAUUUCCACUGAUCCUGGGAUGUGCACUAAAGAGAGCUUCCCUUGUGAAUAUAUGCGCCCGCACCUGGACCUGGGCGUUGACAGGAACUGAAGCAGGAAUGGGAUCCUGCUGUUCCGUCUGUGUCUGUCAGGAAUGGGAAGACCACCUCCUGUGAAGCUGCGCCUUCCACCCGGUCUCCCUCCCUUGCCAAGAUUUUGCUUGGAAGAAGGCCAUGAAGCUGCAGUGCUGACCACAUGCCAGGCUUUUCCCUCAGGCCCUGGUGGAAGCCCAGGCUAAAGAGGCUGAGCACCUCUGACUUUUAGGACAGUCAGAGAAAAACCCCACGACCAUCAUUCAAGGUCAGCAGGAGAGGCCAUGCCCAGCCCGAGCUCUGUUAACCAGCUAUUGCUCCAAAGGUGUUCCUGCAGAAGUCUUGAGGCCAUGUUAUAAGAGAACAAAGGGCACUGGACGUGGGAGGAGAACUGCCUGAAGGAUCAAUCCAGAGCAGCACUGCCCAGUCAGUGCUGUUUGCAUUGGCAUUUGAAGCAGGUUCUUCUUUGCUGUGUCUGCCUGAAAACUUGCAGUAUGUUGAUCAUCCCUUGCCCAUCAUAUCAAAGCCGAUGACAUCUCUGUUGUCCAGGAACAGAAGGGAGAACCCGUUUGUUGGUAGGAAGAGAAGAAAGAAUAUACACAAGGGGCCUUAAGUUUGCAGUGUUUUCUAACACAGGAGACGGAGACACUGUCUUAACGUGGCAACGAUAAACAUCCAGGAUUUCUGCAUCCAUCAAUCACUCAAUCCUUUGAAAGGACUUCUGGGAAAAUGACCUCAGAGGUUUUGCUACCAAAGGGGGCCUGUCCCAAAAUGCACCUCUCUGGCACACUGGAUUAUUUUGAGCUUAAGACCAUUGAGGCCCAGAGUCAGGAGAGCUUCUUUCCUCCCCCUUUCCUGCCUCUAAGAAAUAAGGUUGAGGGCCUGGUGAAGAAGAGAGCCACCACCAGAGGAGUUUCAUCGGUAUGAUCUCUGGCCACAGCAGAAGACAUUUAGAGACAGAGAAUGUUCACCUUCACAGCUUGAGUUAUUUGCAGGCUGAAGCUGGGCACAUUGCCCUGCCUGGAGUCACCGGUCUGACCCCUGCUGUCCGUCAGGCUGCCUGAAACCCUGCCCACUGCCUGGCCCCUGGAGGGAGAAGCAGCAGUGGGAGGGGAAUGAUGGCUGACUCGCUGCACCCUAACGUGGCUGCCAUCCAGCUAAGCAGUCCCUGUGCAGAGCACGUGGAACCCUCCCAGGAGCCUUGGACGGGUCACAGCAGUAAUCAAAACUGAGGUGCUUAAGCAGUCCCAGCAAGCAGGGAAAUGCAGCCAGUGGCCUUCCAUUUAUUUACUGCCUUUCAAAAAAUGAAGAAAAAAGACAUUCAGCACAGAUGGCAUUUAAAAAGGAAAAAUCAAACCAGUAUAACAGAAGCUGGGGGAGGAGGGAACUCGUGCAGCAACAGUCCCCUCUGAGCCCAAGGAAGGCGGUAAGAGUUCUCAUUUAACCUUGGAAAAUGACUUGAGAAUCACUUGUACUUUGAAACGGUUCUAAAUUGCAAACUAAUUUCCCGGUGGGAUAUGUUGAUGGCCUACUGUACACAGCAUGAAUAAUGAGUUUGCAACCAGGACCCCAAAUAAAGCCAUGCACAUUGGUGGAAUUUAUGAACAAUUUUCCUCCAUCUGAUGCUGCAGUGUUAACACUUCCCAUCAGAUUCUGCUGUGUGAGCAGGUGAGUCCCCGGGCACCACACAAAGCUUUCAUGGAACACGCUGGCGGGAAUGACCCCGCUGCUAGCCUGCAAGUCUCUGGGGUCAGGAUCAGGCUUCUAGAAUUCGUGGACACAGACUGCUACCCACCCUGAUUUCAGGUGUUCUUGGCUGUUUGACUUUGAAGGCUAUACUUCAAAUUGACCAGGACAAGAGAAAAUUCCCGUCUCACACAGGAUUUUAGAAUGGGAUAUCAUAACGGUGGCUAGUCACACCUUAUUAUACCAGGAAGAAAUAUGAGAUGCCAGGGACUCCAGGGCUCAUUCUGUGAUCCACAUUCCUAAAUGGUGGAACUGGGGUUCUGACCUGGGGCUCUUCUGCUCCUGAGCGCUUUCCACCUGUGUCCCAUGAGGAUUCUGCAUUUUGUUGAAAAGUAAAAACUGUGAAUGCAAUAAAUUUUAUGUUUAAGAAGACUUAACACAAAUGUAAAUCUG